CAGGGCACACGCGUCCCUGCGAUCUCUCCUACUUCCGGGACACAAGCCUUCCUUGUCUGAUACAGAAGAUGCGGACACAGACACAGACAACCUUACUUAAUCCCCUCUGCUCUUCACCUCCAGCGUUCGCUUGACUGACUCACCUGCAGGACUGCUAAGCGGGACUUGAAGUGCUGAGUUCUAUUCUAAAUGUCGUGGAAAGACAAGAUACUUGUGCUCGAGAGAUGUUAACCAGAUUAUCAGACCCUCGAAGCUUUCACUGUUCCAUUUGAAACACUUUUCCUUCUUUGGCAUUCUUCAGCAUCAACACCAACACCUCCAAUCAUUAUCUGCGUGUAUAUAGGACAAAGCUUUAAAUGAGGUACAAUCUGCUUUCUCAAUUUUGCACUGAGGAAAAUGGCAACCUCUGCCUCAAUUACAGGUAAAGUUAGUUUUGCAAUCUUUCGUGUAUAUUAAAUAGAUUUCAAACUAACAUCUGCAAAUUUUCAAAUUUCUCAGUGCUGAUUUCUCUCAUGAAGAAAGCACACUGCACUGUUCUCAGAAGUAUUUUUCUGCCUCUAAGUUAAUUAAAAGGUUUGGUUGAGGACAAUCCUUGCAAUGACCGUGAUGUUUGGAGAGACUUUAUGAAAUUCAUUGGUGGCAUAGAGGUGGACACCCACUGAACAAAGGGUCCAGUUUAAUUUA
rnacentral:lncRNA from 1 species